CACAAUGUUGUCUAUUCUAUUAGGUGGCUGAGGAGGGCUCAACUAAACACAACUGUGAAAAAUCUUAGCCUACUCAUCAAUUGCUUUUAUGAAGUGUGAAUUGGUAGAUAUGUCAAGUACCAGAGUACCAGAGGUCAUAUGGUCUCUCUGGUGUGACUACUGAACUCUUUUAUCAUAGAAGCCUCCACAGGCGCCAUUUGUACUAUUCCCUCCCUAAUGCCUCGUAUUCUAUCACCAGACCUGCCCACUCUCCCUCUUGCACAUAAAUGCACCCACUUCACUCCAUUCCCAUUGUCCUUACCCUGGUCAGGCCCCAUCCUCUCUCACGUGGCGCGGGCAGCAGCCGGGCAGGCACGCUCCUGGCCCGGGCGAAGCAGAUAAAGCGUGCCAAGGGGCACACGACUUGCUGCUCAGGAAAUCCCCGCGGUCUCACCGCCGCGCCUCGAGAGAGAGCGUGACAGAGGCCCCGGACCCCAUUCUCUCUUCUUUUCUCCUUUGGGGCUGGGGCAACUCCCAGGCGGGGGCGCCUGCAGCUCAGCUGAACUUGGCGACCAGAAGCCCACUGAGCUCCCCACGGCCCUCGCUGCUCAUCGCUCUCUAUUCUUUUGCGCCGGUAGAAAGGUAAUAUUUGGAGGCCUCCGAGGGACGGGCAGGGGAAAGAGGGAUCCUCUGACCCAGCGGGGGCUGGGAGGAUGGCUGUUUUUGUUUUUUCCCACCUAGCCUCGGAAUCGCGGACUGCGCCCAGUGACGGACUCAAACUUACCCUUC
rnacentral:lncRNA from 1 species